AUUCGGUACAAAACUAAUGAUACCAUAGAAUAUAUGACCCAAUUGGAGACUUUACGUAAUAUGGCAAAACGUGAGGAUAUUAUGUCGACAUCAAGUGCAAGUGGUUCAAAGAAGAAAACUGAUAAGAAAAAGAAAAAGGAUGACAUUGGAAAAGCAUCAGUUUCUGGAACUAAAAAAAGAACUGCAUCUGGUGAUCCAAAAGUGUGAAGAGAAAUAUGCAGCAGAGGAGAAUAGUUAGCU